GCUGGGUGCGGUGGCACGUGCCUGUAGUCCCAGCUACUUGGGAGGCUGAGGCAGGAGGAUCUCUUGAGUCCAGGAGUUCCGUGCUGUAGUGUGCUAUGCCAUUCAGGUGUCCGCACUAAGUUCGGCAUCAAUAUGGUGACCUCCUGGUAGCGGGGGACCACCAGGUUGCCUAAGGAGGGGUGAACUGGCCCAGGUCAGAAACGGAGCAGGUCAAAACUCCUGUGCUGAUCAGUAGUGGGAUUGCGACUGUGAAUAGCCACUGCACUCCAGCCUGGGCAACAUAGCAAGACCCCGUCUCU
rnacentral:SRP_RNA from 1 species